rnacentral:tRNA from 9 species
GGGCGCUUAGCUCAGCUGGUUUAGAGCAUCUGCCUUACAAGCAGAGGGUCGGGGGUUCGAAUCCCUCAGCGCCCACCA